GGGCAGCUCGUUCCGGUAGAUCCACAGCGAGCAAAUUAUCGACUGCGCGUGCACGUUUUGUGAUGUCGACGUGUGUUUGCCUGCAUUAAAAUAUUCCUGCUGCUUUAAAGCCCGCUGAUGAUGAAUGAAGAGGAGAGGAGAGGGAAGGUGUACGAUGAAGGUAUAAGUGCUGAAGUAAAGUGGCCGAACCCUCGCCCUCAACCGUUUUACAGACUUUCCAGCAUCCAUCAUCGGAGAGCCAGGUUCCUGCUGACCCAGAGCAGCGUCUGAUGGUUUUGUCAGACCCUGGUGGUCCUCAAGUUGAAGAGUGAGAUUCGAGCGCCAUUCCAACACCAAUUUUGGCA